CCGAGAUCAAAAGUUGCAUGCUCUUCUGACUGAGCCAGCCGGGUGCCCCUGAACUAUGGGUGGAGCCAUCAUGCACCCAGGGCAUGUCCUUCAUCUGGUCACCAGACAAGAGAGGCUCAGAUGAACUCAGGGAAAGUGUCUGUUUAUUAAGGUGGAAGCUCUAUGAAGGCAGAGACCGUGUCUAUCUACUUUUUCAUCUACUCCAACCCUCAGAGCCUAGCACAGUUCCUGAAUGUAACAUCGUUGACAUUUUGUGGCUCCAAGAAAGGACAAGGUCAUAGGCGUGAUCCAAACGGGAUUCCUUGACCAACCUGACAGCUUGCUGUCUGGUAUUUCCGCCCCGCAUUGGAAAGGGAGCCACAUCAGGAGCUCCAGCACAAGCAAAAGUCUAGAGCCCAGAUUCUGAGGAAGAGUCACAUGGAGAAUCCUACAGAGGACCCUUUCCCCCAACCCCAGCCUGUGCUUAAUUAAGUGAGUGGCUUAAGGGACUUGCCUCCUCUUGAAGAUUAAGAGAAUUCCCUCAGUUUCAUCUCUUGGAAAUCUCACGUUUGUGCAAGGUUCUCAGCAAAUGCCAGAUACUCCAUGAAACCCGCUUGCAGUCUCCAGCCAGCUCUCAUGGGCUCAGUCUUCGAACAAAGGAGCUGGAAAGGGUCACAUCUGUGAUUUUCCAAACCCCACAGUCCUCUGCGCCUCUUAUCUCAGCCCGUGGGUAGUUGUGCCCAGCCUUUAUUCACCCAGUGUGAGCACGUGAACUUCUUAAGGUGAGACAGAGGGCAUGCUCUGCUGAACCACAUGCGGACACUGAAUAGUCAUUGCUUCAUGAGUUGUAGGUUUCUCGUUUUAAAGAAUGACAUUUUAAAAGUGGAGUCUACCCGAAUGGAGACAUGAUGAAUGUGGUUCUUCAACCAAGUCCUCAGAACACGGAGCUUGAGAACUUAGAAGCCAUCAAUUGGCGCUCUCUCUCACAUUCGAAGAACCUCUGGUUCCCAGCGUCCUGGGUCUUGGUUCAGGUCAGCUGGCUGGCAAAGACCAGAGUUUGGCCAGCAGAUAUGUGGAGGGCUCUCCCAGAUGUAUCUGUGGGCCUAACUUAACAUGUGUUAGUUCAUCCUUGAGUGUAAAGUGCACUUCAUGAUUGGUUAUGGUAACUAUUCAUAGUUCCCCACUCCCUCCCAUUUACUGCCUGUUUCUAAGCAGCAAAGUUGUGGUUCAGUGACUUCUGUCUGGAUAGUAUGAAAACAGGGCACCCAGCCAAUUUUGAUGAGCUAACUAUUUCCCUAAAUUAUCAUGCCUAAGCAAAGGGCCCCAAACCUGCUGUUCAACACUUAUCAUCAGAUCUGGGGGAUGGGCUAUGUUCAGGCAUAUCAUCAAAUAGCUGAAAUUUUACAUUUAAGAUUGUCAAGCAGUGAAAAUUGGCAUCUUUAGAAAUGACUGACAGUUCCCCUGCCUCUUUUUUGCUACACUGAGUUAGGUAAAGGAAAAAAAAUCACCCUCACUCUUUGUACAGAUUUCUUGCUGAAGACCCAUGUGACAGGACUAUAAAUUUUCACCAGAAAUUGAUGGGAGAACGGACACUUCAAAGUUGCCUGAAAGACUUUGCAAAAGGUCCCAAUUAACAGAAUGCAGCUAACACCUCAGAAAAUAAAAUAGAAUAAAUGUUGCAGUGGGAAUGAAUCUUGCUCAGAGUGCUGUGUUGUUGGCUGAUUGCCUGGUGAGAGUAGUGGCCAGGACUUGCCAGCUGGCUGAUCCACACGCCUAUAAAGGAUGCGGUCAGCUUACACCUUGGCAAACUAUGAUUUUGAUGGAAAUCUUAGAGGUCGGCAGGCGUUCUCCCUAGUAAAGUACCUUAGAUCAGGUCAUUGCUUUUGUUUGAGUGAAGAAAAUAUCCUGUUGGCCAGGAUUAGUAGGACCAAGUCGGCGCUCUGCUCCAAGGGAGAAUCCAUUACUGGAUCAGGAUAGAUAUACACCCUGAAGGAGACACAGGGUGUAAUUGAAGGUGGCACAUUCAUCUACAAAAUCCCCAAGUUAAACCAGUCAUGCCACUGAAGCAAACCAACUAGCUCACCAACAACCACACAUCUUCCCCCAAGUUCCUCUCAACAACCAGUUUGUCAGACUCUCAACUCCAAAGCUACUGCUGUCCUAUCCUCUCAUGUUUACUCAUAGUCAACUGUGAGCAGUUGUGUUGCUUGUUUGUUCUGCGUAGAUCUGAAGACAGGGAUCAGGUGUAGACAUUCUUGUAGCCCCCAUGAUGGCUAGCUUAGCACUUGCCAUAUGGAGGCACUCAAUGAAUGACAGACGGCCAAAGGAGCUUCCAUUGCCCAGAGUCCAUACCCAACAUUUAAAACUGUUUUCAAAACUUAACAAAACCUCUAUCAGUCUCCCAAAUGGACUUAUUGUUUGAAAUGUAUUAAAAACUGAUUUUAACCUUUAUUUUUUAAAAACCGGCAUACAAAAAUAGCCAGAAAAAAAUUCCUGGGAACAAGUUUAAAAGCCAAAUACAGACAGGGAAAAGCAUUUGUAAGACUGAAGAUGCACAUAAUAAAGGGUCUCCUUACUAUAUAAGAGUGGACAAAGAACGUGAUCUGGGAAUUUACUAAAUGAGAAAUGACUAUUCAACAUAUGAAAGCAUUUUCAACCUUACUAGUAACCAAAGAAUACAAAGGGAACCAGACACCUCUUUUCAUCUAUCAUAUAAAGAAAAACCUGAGUGGUACUGGAUGGGUUAUUUGACACUUUCAUACACUACCCAUGCAAAAUAAAACCACCUUCCUGGAGGGCAAAUUGUCAAUAUAUAUUUAAAGGUUUAACUCUAUGACCUGCAGAAAUUCAUCCCAGUUGAAUGAGUAGAUCCCAGAUAAGUAUGUCAAGAUCUGUAUACAAGCAAACCAGAAGAGCCUAAAUGUUGAACAACAGAAGAUAAAUGAGGUAAACUACAACCAUACCAUCAUGUAGCCAUUAAAUUGGUAAAAUUGCUAUCUAUUAGUUGGAAUAGAAAGAUAUUUAUAACAUAUUAAGAAAAAAAGCAAGCCACAGAAAAGUAUGAUCAAGUUUUUGAAAAACUUAUUUAGAUAUAUACACAUCUGUUUAUAUUUACACACACGCAUACACACAAACAGAUAGGUUUACCCCUGCAAGAUCGCUGUGAUUUAUGCCUUCCUCAAAGUCAUUUUCAUAUGAAAAGAAUGAUUGAGCUUAGCUCUGUGAUAAUAAAUAUGAGGGUUUUGUUCAAACAUACUUAAAGAUUUUAUUUAUUAUUCAUUUAUUAAUUUCCAAACCAAUCAUUUAGAAUAUUUAAUAUUAAAAAUAUUAAAGUAUUAAAUGCUUAAAUCGAAUAUUUAAAACCCAAAGAUUCAGUUCAGCCGACAGAGGUUUGGACAUACACAAGAGUCCACCAGAGGAAAACUUCUACAGAUGCUUGCUGGAUUAAUGAUGAAUGUACUAAUGGUUUGUUUUUUUCCCUUGCCAGAGAUCAGACUAGGUUAGGUUUGUAGAGUUAAGUAUUUGUCAGUGUGAAAUGUGGAUAUAUCUACAUAUGCAUGGAGGAAUGGGAAGGUUGGAUUAAAUGAAACCUAAGAAGUCUUCCAUGCUUUAGAUUUGCUCCAUGAUAAGCAUACGCAGGCAACCCUUGACUUGUACUGGAUUGGAUAUUGGAGGAUUAUUUCAAGUCUGAGGUUGAUUGUACCAUUUCAAAUAUGUGGAGGAGGAGAAAUUAUUGGGGAAGCGAAGGAUCCUAACAAAGCAGGAGAGAAAAACUAUAAAAGGGUAGGAGAAAAAAAGAAUCUUUGUUGUAAUGCCUUAGAAAAUUAGUUGGUGGAGAAUAGUUGAAAAUUGCGAAAGUUGAAUGUAGUAAAUCAAAUUAGCAUUAGUAUUUGUGAGUCUGUGAUUGUGAAAAGAUGGGCUAAAUGACUAGCUAACUGUCUUUUCAAGACCAUUGGUAAUAGAAUCCAUUAUGGUUCAUUAUUAACUAUAUUAACAGAAAAUUAGCCUUUACUAGCUCCUAAAGAUAUGAGGUUGUUAUAAUAGACUGUGGUCCCUUAUCAGCAUAUGUAAAACUUGGAGGUUUAUAAAGCAGCUCCCUUCCCAGAACUACACUAGAUUAGAUGAUCAAUUAAUGGCUUAAACGUUAUUGUAUCUCUUUUUAAUAUUUCUUGUCAAAAACUUAAAUAUUCCUGAUUCAACCUGUGUUUCUAUUUGAGUAAUAUAAUUUUGUCAUAAUUGGUUUCAUUUCGAUUGUCUUUACAUUUUGGGUACUUAUUAUCUUUUCUCUCACCCACUGGGAAUGCCAAGUACAAAUUUUUGCUAUUUAGCAAGUCAGUAAGGAGCUUCCCACUGAGUUCCUUAAUUAUUGUUAAUUGAAUAUUGUAAAUGGUUUUUCAGGAUCACCAUCUUGGCAAUCUAUGUGACAUUUUUCUUAGUUAGCAAGAGUUAAAGCACCAAGAAUCCCUUUCUACCCCUUUCCGUACAAUCAUCGUAUCAAAUAAUCAGUUCCUACAUAAACCAGUCUCCUCUUUUCAAAUGUCAAGUCAUAUACAUGCUUCUGUAGCACUUAGAACAUGGUCACCACUCAACAAGUAUUGAACAACAGCUGUCCUUUAAAACAGAAUGAUUCCCAAGUCCAGCCUGUGAAGGAACAUCCCCUUUCCCUUUCCAGAGCUCCCACAGUGCAUCUCACCCGGCCAUGUCAGGCCUGGUACUCUAGGAUAGAGCUCGUCCAUUCUCAUGUACCAGGACCAAGCUUUCUAGUGCUUUUUGCUGCUCUAUAAUCAAAAGAAAGUAAAAAAAAAAAAAAAAAAAAAAGGUAAAUAAAGAGCCUCAGAAGAUCUGAGAAUGUCAGUAAUGCUAUAGCCAAAAAACUGGAGAGUGGAAAAAUCACUGAGCCAGCCUUCCUAUGUGCUUCUUGCCUUACAAUGAACAAUAAAAAAGAAGUGAGAAAUUUA